rnacentral:rRNA from 1 species
UACGUAGGGUGCGAGCGUUAAUCGGAAUUACUGGGCGUAAAGCGUGCGCAGGCGGUUCGUCGUGUCCGAUGUGAAAGCCCCCGGGCUCAACCUGGGAAUGGCAUUGGAAACUGUCUGGCUAGAGUCCGGAAGAGGAGAGUGGAAUUCCUGGUGUAGCGGUGAAAUGCGCAGAUAUCAGGAAGAACACCUAUGGCGAAGGCAGCUCUCUGGGACGGUACUGACGCUGAGACGCGAAAGCGUGGGGAGCGAACAGG